rnacentral:rRNA from 1 species
GAUGAACGCUAGCGGCAGGCUUAACACAUGCAAGUCGAGGGGCAGCAUUAUCUGCUUGCAGAUAGAUGGCGACCGGCGCACGGGUGCGUAACGCGUAUGCAACCUACCUCAUACAGGAGGAUAGCCCGAAGAAAUUCGGAUUAAUACUCCAUAGUAUCAUACUUUCGCCUGUUAGUAUGAUUAAAGAUUUAUCGGUAUGAGAUGGGCAUGCGUUAGAUUAGCUAGUUGGAGAGGUAACGGCUCACCAAGGCUACGAUCUAUAGGGGGCCUGAGAGGGUGAUCCCCCACACUGGUACUGAGACACGGACCAGACUCCUACGGGAGGCAGCAGUGAGGAAUAUUGGUCAAUGGAGGCAACUCUGAACCAGCCAUGCCGCGUGAAGGAAGAAGGCGUUCUGCGUUGUAAACUUCUUUUAUUUGGGAAGAAACUCCUCUACGUGUAGAGGACUGACGGUACCAAACGAAUAAGCACCGGCUAACUCCGUGCCAGCCGCCGCCGUAAUAC